rnacentral:rRNA from 1 species
UACGUAGGGGGCAAGCGUUGUCCGGAUUUAUUGGGCGUAAAGAGCGUGUAGGCGGCCUGAAAGGUCAGCUGUGAAAACUCGAGGCUCAACCUCGAGACGUCGGUUCGAAACCAUCUGGCUAGAGUCCGGAAGAGGAGAGUGGAAUUCCCGGUGUAGCGGUGAAAUGCGCAGAUAUACGGGAAGAACACCCGUGGCGAAGGCGGCUCUCUGGGACGGUACUGACGCUGAGACGCGAAAGCGUGGGGAGCGAACAGG